AGUGAACGCUGGCGGCAGGCCUAAUACAUGCAAGUCGAACGGCAGCACAGCAGAGCUUGCUCUGUGGGUGGCGAGUGGCGGACGGGUGAGGAAUACAUGGGAAUCUGCCCAGUCGUGGGGGAUAACGUAUGGAAACGUACGCUAAUACCGCAUGCGCCCUAAGGGGGAAAGCCGGGGACCGCAAGGCCUGGCGCGAUUGGAUGAGCCCAUGUUCGAUUAGCUAGUUGGCGGGGUAAAGGCCCACCAAGGCGACGAUCGAUAGCUGGUCUGAGAGGAUGAUCAGCCACACUGGAACUGAGACACGGUCCAGACUCCUACGGGAGGCAGCAGUAGGGAAUAUUGGACAAUGGGGCAACCCUGAUCCAGCCAUGCCGCGUGAGUGAAGAAGGCCCUCGGGUUGUAAAGCUCUUUUGUCCGGAAAGAAAAGCAAUCGGUUAAUACCCGGUUGUCCUGACGGUACCGGAAGAAUAAGCACCGGCUAACUUCGUGCC
rnacentral:rRNA from 1 species